GCCCGUAGUGGAAAACCUUAGAUCAGAA
rnacentral:sRNA from 1 species